AACAAUCACUCCUGAAACAUCAGAAUUCUCAUUACUUAGUACUAAAAGAUAUUCAAGAAAUAUUGUUGCAGUGGAUAGCUAGUCAAGUAUGAGCAGGGCAGGAGAGGGCUCCCCUCCUCCACACACCAAAUGUGCUGGGAGCCCCUCAGGUGAUGGUCAAGUGGUUGUUAACUGUUUCUCUAAAGUAGUAAUUGGUCACAGCCGGUGGCAGGGAAAGGCAAUCUUCUAAUGGAAAACACCUGAAACUGACCAGCAGCUUCCCAGUAAGAUCUUAGGAGUGAGGAGAAGGCAAGAUCCCAGAAGUAUGCCAAAGUAUUAAACCCCAAGUCAAGAGGUCAAGCUGUGUACUUGGCUUCUCAAGUCUCCCGCUUGGCCCUCUUCCAGGUUGUACUUCCCUUUGUUUCCUUUCCGUUCUAAAACUUUUUAAUAAGCCUUCACUCCUGUUCUGAGACGUGACUCGGUCUCUCUUUCUGCCUUAUGCCCCUUAGUGGAAUUCCUUAUGAGAAGGCAAGAAUGGAGGGUGCUGCAAACCUAUACAGAUUAACCGCCAAUGUCUCCGGAACUCGGAUCUCUUCCACAGGUCUCCAGUACAACAUUGAAAAGAAGUGGUGAGAGAGCUAACAUCCUUGCCUUGUUCCUGAGUUUAUAAAGAGUUUCUAGAUGCAAACACACACACACACAAAAGUGUGCUUCCAGAAGAUGCUGCUGGGAAGGCCACUGCAUCCCUAGGGAGCCAAAUCAAAGCAUUUUGUCCUAAUGUGUCCGGAAUUGGUGGGUUCUUGGUCUCACUGACUUCAAGAAUGAAGCCGUGGACCCUCGCGGAAAGAUAGAAUAGAAGCUACAAGAUCUGCAGUUAUGCUUCCUCUUACCCAAUUUACAGAUAAUAUAUGUUUGUGGCUGUGAUACACAGAAAAAUGGCAUCCAAGGAAAGUCCACCUCCUAAUCCUCAGAAGCUGUGAAUAUGUUACUUUAUAUGGCAAAAUGGACUCUGCAGAUGAGAUUAAGUUUCUGCCUGCCUGACAAUCACUCUGCUGAUGGCAACCAAAUAUUGUCUUCUUCCUGGAGUCUCAGGGAAAAUGUGGCCUGGGGCAGACCCUAGUUCUUCAGAUGGAAGGUGAAACUUCAAUACAUCACCGCAACAGGAAACAAUCUCAAGAAUUUGUAUUUACACAUCCUGGACAAAGAAAGUGUAAAUAAGUCUGGAAUGCAGUCAUCAGUUCCCAGGUCCUGGAAGGCAGGAGUCUGGAGUCAGGCAGAAAGAGAAAGCAGGCACAGUGACAACCAGCAGUACACUUAAGGAUUAGAGUGCAGAUUUUUCUAAGCUCCCAGGCCAAUGCCUGAAUACCUUUAAAGAAAGCAAUAGGAAAACAGAAGCCCAGUCUGCUAGGUGGAAAAGAUGCUUUUAUGAUCCUGCCUCUGGCCCCGGGCUUGAGCCAUUGGGGUAGAACUGGAAACUGUGUCAAGGGUGACUGAUUCCUGCUUCUAGUAUGAAAAAAUUAAACUUGCAUUUGAAACGGAUGCUGAAGCAACAUAAAAUUUUAAGAAUUCACUCAAUGUUAUAUUAGUCAAAACUCAAGAGGAAUAAUAACAAGGUGACUUUAGAGAAAAAUAAGGACAGAACAAUAAUUCUAAUUGGAGAGAAGGAAGAGGAGAGAAGGAGUUACCCAAACAGGCCCUUGUUCCAUGGAUAUUCACUC
rnacentral:lncRNA from 1 species